rnacentral:rRNA from 1 species
UAGUUUGAUCCUGGCUCAGGACGAACGCUGGCGGCGUGCUUAACACAUGCAAGUCGAACGCUGUCCAUUCGGUGGCAACACCGAUGAAGACGGAGUGGCGAACGGGUGAGUACCACGUGAGCAACCUGCCCCGAAGACCGGGACAACACCGGGAAACCGGUGCUAAUACCGGAUGCCCCCACCGGACCGCAUGGUCUGGUGAGGAAAUGGAUUCCGCUUCGGGAGGGGCUCGCGGCCUAUCAGCUUGUUGGUGAGGUAACGGCUCACCAAGGCACCGACGGGUAGCUGGUCUGAGAGGACGAUCAGCCACACUGGGACUGAGACACGGCCCAGACUCCUACGGGAGGCAGCAGUGGGGAAUCUUGCGCAAUGGGCGAAAGCCUGACGCAGCAACGCCGCGUGGGGGACGAAGGCUUUCUGAGUUGUAAACCCCUUUCAGCAGGGACGAUUGUGACGGUACCUGCAGAAGAAGCACCGGCCAACUACGUGCCAGCAGCCGCGGUGAUACGUAGGGUGCAAGCGUUGUCCGGAUUUAUUGGGCGUAAAGAGCUCGUAGGCGGUUCGAUCAGUCGGAUGUGAAACCCCCAGGCUCAACCUGGGGCCGCCAUCCGAUACUGUCGUGACUGGAGUCCGGUAGGGGACCAUGGAAUUCCUGGUGUAGCGGUGAAAUGCGCAGAUAUCAGGAGGAACACCAGCAGCGAAGGCGGUGGUCUGGGCCGGUACUGACGCUGAGGAGCGAAAGCGUGGGGAGCGAACAGGAUUAGAUACCCUGGUAGUCCACGCCGUAAACGUUGGGCACUAGGUGUGGGGCCUUUUCAACGGGUUCCGUGCCGCAGCUAACGCAUUAAGUGCCCCGCCUGGGGAGUACGGC